CCGGAGUGCUUGCACUUUGGCAGACUGAGUGGCGGACGGGUGAGUAACGCGUGGGUAACCCUGCCUUAUACAGGGGGAUAACAGUUGGAAACGACUGCUAAUACCGCAUAAGACCACAGCACCGCAUGGUGCAGGGGUAAAAACUCCGGUGGUAUGAGAUGGACCCGCGUCUGAUUAGCUUGUUGGUGAGGUAACGGCUCACCAAGGCGACGAUCAGUAGCCGGCCUGAGAGGGUGAACGGCCACAUUGGGACUGAGACACGGCCCAAACUCC
rnacentral:rRNA from 1 species